UUUUGUGCUGGGGACAUAGCUCAGUUGGUAGAGUGUUUGCCUCUCAUGCACAAGGCCCUGGGUUCAAUCCCUAGCACCACAAAAA